UACCACAUCCAAGGAAGGCAGCAGGCGCGCAAAUUACCCACUCCCGGCACGGGGAGGUAGUGACGAAAAAUAACGAUACGGGACUCAUCCGAGGCCCCGUAAUCGGAAUGAGAACAAUUUAAAUCCUUUAACGAGGAUCAAUUGGAGGGCAAGUCUGGUGCCAGCAGCCGCGGUAAUUCCAGCUCCAAUAGCGUAUAUUAAAGUUGUUGCGGUUAAAAAGCUCGUAGUCGAAUCUGUGUCCCGCGCCGCCGGUUCGUCGCUCGCGGCGUUUAACUGGCGUGUCCGCGGGACGUCCUGCCGGUGGGCUUAGCUCCUCCUUUGGGGCGGCCCAAUCAUAAUCCCGCCGCGGUGCUCUUCACCGAGUGUCGAGGCGGGCCGGCACGUUUACUUUGAACAAAUUAGAGUGCUUAAAGCAGGCUAAAACUUUGCCUGAAUACUUCGUGCAUGGAAUAAUGGAAUAGGACCUCGGUUCUAUUUUGUUGGUUUUCGGAACCCCGAGGUAAUGAUUAAUAGGAACGGNAUGGGGGCAUUCGUAUUGCGACGUUAGNGNUGAAAUUCUUGGAUCGUCGCAAGACGGACAGAAGCGAAAGCAUUUGCCAAAAACGUUUUCAUUGAUCAAGAACGAAAGUUAGAGGUUCGAAGGCGAUCAGAUACCGCCCUAGUUCUAACCAUAAACGAUGCCAGCUAGCGAUCCGCCGAAGUUCCUCCGAUGACUCGGCGGGCAGCUUCCGGGAAACCAAAGCUUUUGGGUUCCGGGGGAAGUAUGGUUGCAAAGCUGAAACUUAAAGGAAUUGACGGAAGGGCACCACCAGGAGUGGAGCCUGCGGCUUAAUUUGACUCAACACGGGAAACCUCACCAGGCCCGGACACCGGAAGGAUUGACAGAUUGAGAGCUCUUUCUUGAUUCGGUGGGUGGUGGUGCAUGGCCGUUCUUAGUUGGUGGAGCGAUUUGUCUGGUUAAUUCCGAUAACGAACGAGACUCUGGCCUGCUAACUAGGCGUAUUUCCGACAUCUCGAAGGCCCGCCGGCCUGGUGCGCUCGCGCGCCGAGUCGUGCGCGGUUUUUACUGUCGGCGUACAAACAAUUCUUCUUAGAGGGACAGGCGGCUUCUAGCCGCACGAGAUAGAGCAAUAACAGGUCUGUGAUGCCCUUAGAUGUUCUGGGCCGCACGCGCGCUACACUGAAGGAAUCAGCGUGUCCUCCCUGGCCGAGCGGCCCGGGUAACCCGCUGAACCUCCUUCGUGCUAGGGAUUGGGGCUUGCAAUUGUUCCCCAUGAACGAGGAAUUCCCAGUAAGCGCGAGUCAUAAGCUCGCGUUGAUUACGUCCCUGCCCUUUGUACACACCGCCCGUCGCUACUACCGAUUGAAUGAUUUAGUGAGGUCUUCGGACCGGCACGCGGUGGCGUUUCGACGUCGCCGAUGCUGCUGGAAAGAUGACCAAACUUGAUCAUUUUAGAGGAAANUAAAAGUCGUA
rnacentral:rRNA from 1 species